AAUGAACGUUGGCGGCAUGGAUUAGGCAUGCAAGUCGCGCGACAAGCCAUUUUUAGCUUGCUAUUUGUGGUGGAGGAGCGGCGAAAGGGAGAGUAACGCGUGGAUCACCUACCCUGGGGUACGGAAUAGCGGCGGGAAACUGCCGGUAAUGCCGUAUGACGUCUCCGGACCAAAGCCCCGGCGCCCUGGGACGGGUCCGCGUACCAUUAGCUAGUUGGUGGGGUAAAAGCCUACCAAGGCUCAGAUGGUUAGUGGGCGUGAGAGCGUGGCCCACCUCACUGGGACUGAGACACUGCCCAGACACCUACGGGUGGCUGCAGUCGAGAAUCUUUGUCAAUGGACGAAAGUCUGAACAAGCGAUGCCGCGUGCGGGAUGAAGGCCUUCGGGUUGUAAACCGCUGUCAGAGGGGAGCAAAUUUUGAGCGAUCCUCAGAGGAAGCCCGGGCUAAGUUCGUGCCAGCCGCCGCCGUAACAC
rnacentral:rRNA from 1 species